rnacentral:lncRNA from 1 species
UCUACAUGGGAAAAGGUCUUGCCUUUUAAUUUUUCCAUCUUUCCUUUAUUUUCGAUGAUUUUUUCUAGGUUUCCCCCAGUAUUUCCUUUGCCUUUUCUAUUCUUAGAAGCCUCAAUCGAGUGAGAGGCUUGGAGCAACCGAAUAGAGAAGUUCAAUUGAUGGCCAGGGUUUUGACUUGAUGGUUAUUUCCAUUCUUAGGAGUCUCCA